AUGUACUAAGAUUGCUUGGCUUAGUCACGCUAAUCACAUUUCCAUGUUCAUCUAUCUCCCUUCCAAGGGCAUCCACACGCAGAACAGGAGCCUUUGCAGGUUUCUGUUGAACAGCCAUCGUCUCUGCAGGUGUCUGUCCUAGAAGAUAAUUGAUAAUGGUAGGAAACUCUGGAUCCUGACGGUACCCCAUCCUAGCUGCCACCUCCUGAGCUCUCUUAACAGCUUCAAUGUUGACCUUAUUCCCAAGGCCAGGCAAGACAGCAUGUGGUAAUGCUGAAGCAGAAGAUGUUCCUGCAGAGACAGCAGGAGUGGUAGUCGAUGGUGGCACUCUAGCAUGUGGGCUACCUUCUGAAGCCAACUUAAUACCUUGAUUCGCCUGCGUAAAGAAGAGUUAUCAAACUACAAAGUUCCCUCCAAGAAACAAAUGAUGAAUGCACAGAUCCGGAUAUCUUACCGAAGAAAGUUUCUUAAACCUGUCGGCUAAUCCCUUUCCAAGCUGAAUAGCUUUCUUAGCUUUAGCUAAUGCAUCAAGAGACAAGUUUGAACUACUUUGCCCGGAAGUUCUUCCAUCUGUACUAGAUUUUCCAUGAACCUCAUGAGACCUGACAAUACUCUUAUUUUCAUCCGUUGUGGAUAUUGAAGAUACCUUAGUGAGCAGGGUUUGACUAGGGGCUAAAGACGUUUCCGAAGCUAAAGAACUAUGCGAAGUGACGCCCUGCACAUAGACAAAUAGAUACGAGCUUUUCAAACACCAUUCGAAAUGAAACCAUCAACAAAUCUAUCGAAGCUGAGAAGAAAUAAACUCACAGUGGAGACGUCACUAGCUGCGUUCGUAGCCCUAGAACCCUCACUCACUUGAUCAUUUUUGCUCUCAUCCUCAAACCUGCUUCUCCUCUCACCACCACCACCACUCCCAUCAGAGAACCUAGAUCUCUUCUUCCCUUCCUUAUUCCCGUUCUCCUCCUCUCUCUCUUUCCUCUUGCUCCUCGUUUCCUUAUCUUUACUUCCUUCGUGAGACCUCUCCCUAUCUCUACUCCCUUCCCUCUCGCUUCGCUCGACAGAUCUCCUUCUCUCCCGAGCUCUAUCUCUCUCAUCCUCCCUAUCGUCGCGCCUCGAUGACAGGUGGUGAUCUGAAUCGCGACGCUUUGAAUCUCCAUUGCGAUGGCGGCGUCCGGCUUCGCGUUCCGGCGAACGAUCCGCACUCGAAUCACGAUCGCGAUAGUCCCUGGUGCUCCUGUAUCUCUCCUUAUCCAUGGCGAUUUAGGGUUUCUUCCUCACAUUCCCCUUCGAGUCUUUUAUUAUAACCGAAACCCCUUCCCACAACCGGAAUAAACCAGCGAGUCGUGUAAAAGCAGAAAUCGAUAAAGACUCUCGAAUCAAGUAUUCGCUGACCACUAGUCAAGCUUGCAAUAUGGGCCCAAGCCCAUUUCUAAUUCCUCUUCAAAGUUAUGGGCUUUAAAAUCGUUUUUUCUCUUUGUUAGAAAAUGAAGCUAUUUAAGCUCAAAAUCGAAAUGUAAGAAAAAAACAUGGGGAAUUCGGCCAAAAAAAACCUCAACUUUACACGAAUUGCCAAAACAAACAUGAACUUUGGGGCUGACCAAAAAAACACCAAACUUUCAUUGACUUUAGAAUUAAUUAACAAUAUUUUCGCUGACUUGCCAAUUUAGCACGCCGUCAACAAAUUUAACAGAAAUAUUUGACGUCGUUUAUUGUUGACGUUAAGUGAAACGACGUCGUUUUCAAAUGAGAUGAAACGACGUCGUUUUACAUGAUUUGAAAUUAAAAAUAUGUAAACACCUGGAUUCGAACCCAGGUUGGUUGGUCAAAUGGGAAUAUAUUUUACCACUGGGCUACUGGCACUUUCAAUGUACUUACUAAUAUGUUAACUUUUAUUUGGUACAUAUUAAAUAUAAAAAAUUCUCUAAAAACUUAAUAAGAUCUUUAAAAUUCCAAAAAAUUAAAAAAAUAAAGAAGAUUUUUAUAAAAUUAAUUUAGAAAUUAAAAUUAAAAAUAAAAUUUUAUUUUUCUUUUUAAAAAAUAAAAACUCUUCCAAAAUUUAUUUGGUCUGAAUCGAAGAAAGGUAACUAAGUGGUUCACAAUAAUAAGAUGAUUCAUUGUUACCAUAUUCUAAUAGUAAUCACCCUGGUGCUGAUUACAGAAUAAUACAAACUAUCAGAAGUAAUAGGCGGCAAACUAAUGAGCACACUAAGCCAACAGUCAAAGAGAUCAACAAUUGCAAUAUUAUGUAUACACAUCCAGACGAAAAGAAAUGGGAGAAUAAUUCUAAAUCGAAAUGAUAACCAACAGGAACCUUAGCUACAGUUAUGGUGAUUGUAGUAUGACUUUCAUCCAAUACCCUAGAUGUUACAAGUUUAGUUUGAUAAUUGUAGUAUGACUUGUUCUCCUCAAGGUUAUGCCAUGUUUAGCGUCAUCAGAUAAACAUUGGAAACAAAACAACUCAGCAUCAACAAAAAGGUAAAGUGGGAAGAAUUACGUACCACCACUCAACAUCUGGGAUUAUCUCCUUGGGUUUCUCUUUUCUCGGGGCACGUUCUGAUACCUCGAUCAAAUUUGGAUUUAUAUCAUCCCUGGCCUUAGCCAGAUGCGCUUGCUUCACCUUCAGCUCUCUUGCUUUUGCUUCACCAAAUUGACUCUACAAAUCAAACAUCAAAAUAACACACUGAAACAUCAGCAAAGGCCACCAAGAAUGAAAUGGUUAAAAAGAAUCCAUCAUAGAAAAAGACAACGCGUACCCUCAACUUCAAACUCUCAGCAUCUCUUGUCCAUUUACCUUCCUCAACAAACUGAAAACUCAUACGCUUGGGUCUCAAAAUCUUGUUUUUGUCAAUCCCCAUCCUCGGAUCAAAGUGGGGGUUUUCUUCUGGAUUUACUUCCAGUUGAGGUUUAAGAAUCUGAAAGGCAUCUUUCUUCUGUUUGUUGAUAUUAACCUGUAGAUAUCCAAGUAUAUUAGGAGCUCGAUCAUUAAAAAAAAUACAAAGUUUAGACAUUUAAAUUCACUUUAUUGACCUUUAAUGUACUAAGAUUGCUUGGCUUAGUCACGCUAAUCACAUUUCCAUGUUCAUCUAUCUCCCUUCCAAGGGCAUCCACACGCAGAACAGGAGCCUUUGCAGGUUUCUGUUGAACAGCCAUCGUCUCUGCAGGUGUCUGUCCUAGAAGAUAAUUGAUAAUGGUAGGAAACUCUGGAUCCUGACGGUACCCCAUCCUAGCUGCCACCUCCUGAGCUCUCUUAACAGCUUCAAUGUUGACCUUAUUCCCAAGGCCAGG
rnacentral:lncRNA from 1 species